GGAAAGAGAGAGGGAGCAGAAUGUCCACGACUUGUGGUGGUGUAGGAAGAGAUUUGCACGCUUCUCUGUUCUAGAGGCUUUCGAUUGUUUUUCCUUCGGAAUGUCCUUUUUCGGUUCCUCAGUUUGGUGGUUUUGAAUACUCUAGCAAUACUGGGAGAACAGGAUUUCUUGGUGAUGAAAAUCUUCAUUUUAAGGACUUUGUUUUUGAGGAGCCAUGUGAAGCUCAGACUCUCACAAGUCAAGAAGGUCUUCAGACUCCCAAUGUGAGUAGUCAACGCUUGUCUGUUGGGAUGACACCCAAAACCCUUAGGCUGCCGAAACCUACCGAGA